rnacentral:lncRNA from 1 species
AUGAUUGCCCUGCUCUGCUCGUUCUGGAUGGAAGACUUUCUCCUGGGAAGCACGGGAGCAGAACAGCUGGCGGUGGCCAGAGCUGCCUGUGACCGUCCCUCAGUUUGCAGUGUGAACUGUAGAGAAAAGACAGCAAUCUUGUUAGGUGACAGAGAGCAGUGUCCAAGCCUGUGUGCGCGUGCUCCAUUCUCCCUCUUCGCGGUGUGUUACUCCUCUGCCUUCGAUGCCUGACCGAGGACACAGCUGCUGCAGUGACCAUUGUACAGGGGACUGUGCAGUCAAGGGUGUGGUCGGCAGGGGAGAGCAGGCGCUUACAUGAUGAAGGUGCCAUCGUUUGGACCUGGAACGUUCCCCACUGGCCCGUGUUCAGAGGUUCAUUCUCAGCCUGGCCCUGCUGGAUGGUGGAAGACUCUUCAGGAGUGGAAGGUGGGGGCAGGAUUCAGGUCAUGGGGGCACAGGCGCUUGAAGGCAGUUGUGGGAAAUCCUCUUUCUUUUGUCUGAUGAACAGCUUGCUUCCCCACGUGCUCCUGCCAUCGUGUGUCACCACAGGUCAAACCAAGGGGCAAAUCGGUCCCAUGCUGCCAUUUCUCUUCCUGUGAGCCAAAACAACCCUCUUCUCUUGCUAAGUUGAUCUCAACGUUUGUUACAGUAAUAGAAAACCGACUAACACGGAUGCUUUCUGUGAUCAGACUGCUCAGACAUCUCUCAUCUCAGCAGCAAUGCCGUCGCACCUUGGCAAAGUCAGGAAAUCACGUUUUAGCAACUUCAUAGCUGCUCAGGGAAAAGAGAACCCUGCAUCUCCCAGAUUGAUUCUUUGAUGGUUCUGCAUAUUUGUAGAUAUGUGAAAACACAUCUGCAUGCAUUCAACACACACACACACACAAAUCUUGAGUUCACUGGUAAUUUCCAGGUUGGAAUCCAUGAUUGUCAACUUGGGAAUAAAGUCCUCAUUGACUUUGUCUCUAAAUUUUAUAUCUCCCAUAGCUUCAUAAUCAGGGGGAUUUUUACAUAACCUUUUAGCCACAGGGAAAGGACAGAAGAUUGGACAAGCUCAACUCAUAGUGAAAGGGCAGAUUUUUGCAGCACAUUUUUGUAAUUCUGUGCUGAUUCACCACGCAUUGAAAGUUUUCUAGUAAAUACCAUCCCUGCCAAAAUUGGAAAGGACAGUAAGUGGAAGAAAUGAAGUCACCCUCAAGACAGGGCUUCUGGGAAAAUGGUGAAUGGGAAAAUUUUAACUAUGUCACAACCUUGGGAAACAUGAGCUUUUUUUCAUUUUUCCUUUGUUUUAUUUUUCCCUCAUGAUGGAUUGCUGGAGAUAAGAUGAUGGAUCUACAUUGGUAUAGCAUUAUUUCACAGGGUGCUUCACUGGGAGUAGACAGAAAAAACUGUUAUUUCUUUUUUUUCUUUUCUUUUUUUAGGCCUUGAAGGUAGAGGGCUUGCCUGGAGCCAUGACUUGGGUGGCCUGAGCCAGGCCCCGAGAGCUGACCCGCGGCUCAACCUUUGUCACUUGAUCCUCUUUGUAAAUCCCUUAUCUCUCUUUGUCCCUUACUCCUUUGUGUUUUCCUUGAGCUCAUUCUCUAAAAAUAAAACUCAAGGCUACUGAGUUUGUAAGGUUUUCCUUUGAGAGUAACUCUUCUGGUUUCAUUCUGCACAACAAGUGUAUCAUUCAUUGUCAAACCUUUGGACAAAAUUGUGUAAGUUUCUUUGGCAUGGUCCUUGGAAAUUUGUAUCUGGAAA